GCUNUNUGCUUACAUARAUAUAAAGAGUCGAGCCUGCCCAGUGAAUUUUUAAACGGCCGCGGUACUCUGACCGUGCAAAGGUAGCAUAAUCAUUUGCCUUAUAAUUGAAGGCUAGUAUGAAUGGUUUGACGAGAGCAGCACUGUCUCCUUUUUAUUUUCAAGAACUUAACUUUUAGGUGAAGAGGCCUAAAUUUUAUUGAAGGACAAGAAGACCCUAUCGAGCUUAAAAGACAUUAUAGAAGUUUAUAUAUUUUUAAAUAAAUUUUCUAUCAAGCUUUUUAGUUGGGGCGACUAAGGAACAAAAAAAGCUUCUUGCUGAGAAUAAGCAGUCAUGUUUAGAUCCGAUAAUAGUCGAUCAAAGAAAUUAGUUACCGUAGGGAUAACAGCAUAAUCUCUCUUGAGAGACCUAAUCGAAAGAGGGGGUUGUGACCUCGAUGUUGGACUAGAAUAUCCUAAAGAUGCAGAAGUCUUUAAGGGUCGGUCUGUUCGACCGUUAAAAUUCU
rnacentral:rRNA from 1 species